CAUUGCCUUCGUUUUUUUUCAGCCUCCACUGACCCUUCGAGAAGUUCCACGAUUUCCAGACUUCUACUGAUCUAAAUCUCCAGAUAAAGAAGAACGAUCUAGAGAGAGAUAGAGAGAUCGGGUGGGUUUUUUUUCGCUUUGUACAAAGAGAUAGAGAGAGAAAGAAGUAGCUUAUCGAACGAUCGAAGAAGGGAUUGUGGUGUUUUGAUAGAAAGAGAAGUAAGAGUGUUUGGUUUCGAUAAUCUUCAGUCUGUUGAGUUGGUGGGUUUCGGGAUAGUGAGUAUUGCAGAUUCUAUGCAAAAAAGUGUUCGCGUGGUUCUGUUGCCGCUGUUCCUUUGCUCAUUGUUCAGUAUUAUUUCAACGUUGUACACUUCUUUAGCUCUUUCGGAUAGUGCUCUAUCAAGCCCUUUGGCUAUCUCAAAUUCAGUUGUGGCACCGAAAAUGAGAUGCAGCAAACCACACCUGCACUUUCUUGAACCCACUUAUUCCAGAAGCAAAGGAAUACACAGCCGAGUUUUCCAAGCCAGGAGAUAAGGUGAAACUCCUUCCUCCACCGCCUAGACGGCUAACCCCAGAUGAACUCAAGCAACAAGCGAUGAAAUUAGUUUAUGAACUGAAUGCUCUGAAUCCUGAUGCACAUAAAGGCAGUGUUUAUUGCACUGCUUCUAUUUGAAGAUUUUCAGUGCAUAAUGGGUGGUGGUACAAUGCUUGCUCAAACCUGUUAUAAACAGCUGAAACCGAAGGAACACACUGAUGAAUUAGCAUGUGAAAAGCAUGAUGUAAAAAUACCUAUUCCAUGGACUUGAAUGAGUGGUCUGUGCUUAAACCCCUUCCAUCUUCCAUCUUAUGGUACAAGAAGAGAUGCAGCAGCUGGAAGGUUCCAAGUUAUCAUAA